GGCCUUGACAUACUAAGAACUUUCCAGAGAUGGAUUGGUGCCUUCGGGAACUUAGAUACAGGUGCUGCAUGGCUGUCGUCAGCUCGUGUCGUGAGAUGUUGGGUUAAGUCCGCAACGAGCGCAACCCUUUUCCUUAUUUGCCAGCGGGUAAUGCCGGGAACUUUAAGGAUACUGCCAGUGACAAACUGGAGGAAGGCGGGGACGACGUCAAGUCAUCAUGGCCCUUACGGCCAGGGCUACACACGUGCUACAAUGGUCGGUACAAAGGGUUGCUACCUCGCGAGAGGAUGCUAAUCUCAAAAAGCCGAUCGUAGUCCGGAUCGCAGUCUGCAACUCGACUGCGUGAAGUCGGAAUCACUAGUAAUCGCGGAUCAGAAUGCCGCGGUGAAUACGUUCCCGGGCCUUGUACACACCGCCCGUCACACCAUGGGAGUUUGUUGCACCAGAAGUAGGUAGUCUAACCGCAAGGAGGACGCUUACCACGGUGUGGCCGAUGACUGGGGUGAAGUCGUAACAAGGUAGGCGUAGAUGA
rnacentral:rRNA from 1 species